UGGUGGGACAUCGCCCAGGAGUUCAUUGCCCACCUGGAGGCCGUGGUGAGCAGCGGGAGGGUGGAGAAAUCCCCCCACGAGCAGGAGAUCAAGUUCUUCGCCAAGAUCCUGCUGCCCCUCAUCAACCAGUACUUCCACAACCACUGCCUGUACUUCCUGUCCACCCCAGCCCAGGUGCUGGGCAGCGGCGGCCACGCCUCCAACAAGGAGAAGGAGAUGAUCACCAGGU